CCCGGGGCGCGAGCCCGGGCGGAGCGGCCGUCGGUGCAGAUCUUGGUGGUAGUAGCAAAUAUUCAAUGGAGAACUUUGAAGGCCGAAGAGGAGAAAGGUUCCAUGUGAACGGCACUUGCACAUGGGUAAGCCGAUCCUAAGGGACGGGGUAACCCCGGCAGAUAGCGCGAUCACGCGCAUCCCCCGAAAGGGAAUCGGGUUA
rnacentral:ncRNA from 1 species